GCCACUCGAGGAGACCGUUUGGGAGAGGAUUCAGAUAGCUAUCCGCUUAAGAUUUUUUGCAGAUCCGCCAAAAUGAAUUCACCAUUCAGCUACAAAAAUAUUGAAGAUAAUUACAUUUUACAUAUAUGAUGGCCUCAUAGUUGAAGAUAAUUCAGAUGCAAAAAUGUCUUGCAGAUUUGUAUUGUACCUGGAUUCAUAGUUGUCUUGCUCACGACAGCUGGUUGCUGUCCAAAGCUGUGGCUGCCCUCUCUAAAUAAUUUGGUCUGUGAAAAGAAGCUUGUUGUAGUAUGUCAAUAAUAUAAGAUCCGAUAUAUUUACAUAUAUUACUAAAUCAUAGUUACCUCUUCUAUACAUGAUGCGGCGACUUCUGGAUCA
rnacentral:lncRNA from 1 species